AUUGAACGCUGGCGGCGUGCUUAACACAUGCAAGUCGAUCGGUAACGCGGGGGCAACCCUGGCGACGAGAGGCGGACGGGUGAGGAACGCUUGGGAAUCUGCCUAUCAGCGGGGGACAACACGGGGAAACUCGUGCUAAUACCGCAUACGCUCUACGGAGGAAAGCCGGGGACCGCAAGGCCUGGCACUGAUAGAUGAGCCCAAGCCGGAUUAGCUAGUUGGCGAGGUAACGGCCCACCAAGGCGACGAUCCGUAGCUGGUCUGAGAGGACGAUCAGCCACACUGGAACUGAGACACGGUCCAGACUCCUACGGGAGGCAGCAGUGGGGAAUAUUGGACAAUGGGGGAAACCCUGAUCCAGCGACGCCGCGUGGGUGAAGAAGGCCUGCGGGUUGUAAAGCCCUUUCGGUAGGGACGAAAGCUCUCGACCUAACACGUCGGGAGGUUGACUUAACCUACAGAAGAAGCACCGGCUAACUCUGUGCCAGCAGCCGCGGUAACAC
rnacentral:rRNA from 1 species